CCUACGGGUGGCAGCAGUGGGGAAUAUUGCACAAUGGGGGAAACCCUGAUGCAGCGACGCCGCGUGAGUGAAGAAGUAAUUCGUUACGUAAAGCUCUAUCAGCAGGGAAGAAACACUGACCUUACGGUCAGCAGACGGUACCUGAGUAAGAAGCACCGGCUAACUACGUGCCAGCAGCCGCGGUCAGCCGGCGCGGGCAAGCGUUAUCCGGAUUUACUGGGGGUAAAGGGAGCGUAGACGGUGCGCCAAGUCUGGAGUGAAAUGCCGCAGCUUACAUGCGGAACUGCGUUGGAAACUGGCGAACGAGAGUGCGUGAGGUGUAAGCGGAAUUCCUGGUGUAGCGGUGAAAUGCGUAGAUAUUAGGAGGAACACCGGUGGCGAAGGCGGCUUACUGGACCGUAACUGACGUUGAGGCUCGAAAGCGUGGGGAGCAAACAGGAUUAGAUACCCGUGUAGUC
rnacentral:rRNA from 1 species